rnacentral:rRNA from 1 species
GACGAACGCUGGCGGCGUGCCUAACACAUGCAAGUCGAGCGGGAACCUCUCGAGGGGUAACCCUUGAGAGGGGAGAGCGGCGAACGGGUGAGUAACACGUGGGCAACCUGCCCCGGACACCGGGAUAACCCAGGGAAACCUGGGCUAAUACCGGAUACUCCGGCCGGAUCGCAUGGUCCGGCCGGGAAAGCUCCGACGGUCCGGGAUGGGCCCGCGGCCUAUCAGCUUGUUGGUGGGGUAACGGCCCACCAAGGCGACGACGGGUAGCUGGUCUGAGAGGACGGCCAGCCACACUGGGACUGAGACACGGCCCAGACUCCUACGGGAGGCAGCAGUGGGGAAUAUUGCGCUAAUGCGCGAAAGCGUGACGCAGCGACGCCGCGUGGGGGAUGAAGGCCCUCGGGUCGUAAACCCCUUUCGCCAGGGACGAAGCGAGAGUGACGGUACCUGGAGAAGAAGUCCCGGCUAACUACGUGCCAGCAGCCGCGGUAACACGUAGGGGACGAGCGUUGUCCGGAUUCAUUGGGCGUAAAGCGCGCGUA